rnacentral:rRNA from 1 species
GACGAAGGAUGCAAGCGUUAUCCGGAUUCAUUGGGUUUAAAGGGAGCGUAGGUGGCCUUAUAAGUCAGUGGUGAAAUCUCUCGGCUUAACCGAGAAAUUGCCAUUGAUACUGUAGGGCUUGAGUAUAGUUGCCGUUGGCGGAAUAUGACAUGUAGUGGUGAAAUACAUAGAGAUGUCAUAGAACACCGAUUGCGAAGGCAGCUGACGAAACUAUAACUGACACUGAGGCGUCGAAAGUGACGGGGAUCAAACAGG